UACGUAGGGUGCAAGCGUUAAUCGGAAUUACUGGGCGUAAAGCGUGCGCAGGCGGUUGUGUAAGUCUGACGUGAAAUCCCCGGGCUCAACCUGGGAAUUGCGUUGGAGACUGCAAGGCUAGAAUCUGGCAGAGGGGGGUAGAAUUCCACGUGUAGCAGUGAAAUGCGUAGAGAUGUGGAGGAACACCGAUGGCGAAGGCAGCCCCCUGG
rnacentral:rRNA from 1 species